UUUUUUUUUUUUUUUUUUUUUUUUUUUUAAUAGGCUUCCAAGAAGACUAUUUUGGGAUAGAUACAAAUGAAGAAAACCUAAACAAAAUCAGCAGUCCUCCCUUUGGCAGCCCGUUUACAAGUUUCAAGUAAGAAUUCAAUGAUGUUUUGAACAUCAGUAAUGAUGUUUUCUAAUGUAUUCACCCUCCUGGAGAUAAGCAGCAAUCUGUGUGUUCCAACACUUUGGUAUUCCCUGUUGAACUAGACUUUGAAGCACAUUUUUCUAACACAUCUGCAAUGCCCCCUGAUUUAGCCUCCUCAAGGAAGGUGGAAGACCUACCCACUCUCAAGGUUUCAGUUUCUCCAGCCCUGACCAUCAUAAGUGUGUUAGAUUGAGAAAUUCAGUUGCAAUGAAAAGCAUAAAGUAAGGAACUAAGAGUGCUUAUUUCACUCUCCCCUGACAGAUAUUGGCAGAGAGAAAAUAUAAAUUUAACAGUGUCCUAAGGGCUCAGGUGAGUUUUACCUCACUUACGAACACCUUAAAAAUAACAAAAAUUGCUGGUAAGCCAGCUAACUCAGCCAAGAAGUUCCUUUUUCCACAUUUUGUAAUGUAAACUCUUGAGGGAAAAAAUUGGUACUGCCCUUGUCAAAUUAAAUAAUCGCUUCAGACACGUUAACUCCAGGCUGUUUUCUAAUAAUGAUGGCUUGAGGAACAGGCGCAUCUAGUAUGUGUAAAAGAGAUAAAGAUGGAAUGUGUGUUCUUAUAUUCAUGAUUAAAAAUGGACCAUAGAGAGUCUAGUUCUCUAUAGAUUUCCUUUGUUUCAAUCAGAAUAUUUUUUUGCAAGUGGUGAUUUUAAACAAAAAUUUCAUAAGAUUUUAUACAUUGCCUACAAUUCAACCUCAGUUUUUUGGGAAGGGGUGGAAGAAAAGAAUCAGGCACAUGCUGUGAAUAAACAAUUGAGUCUUCCAACCCUCUUAGUUCAAGACCAGGAUGAGUAAUGAAGUGAGGUUCUCCUGCCUUCAUAUUUACCUUACAAAAGAUUUUAGCAAACACAAGACGCCAAAUACCAUGGACAUUUAAAAAUACAUGUUUUUUUUUUAAAGCAUUUCUAUUUUCUUGUGGAGCAGUUAACCACAAGGGUUUGGUUGUCAAUUCAUGGAUGAUUAUCAUGAUAUGAUUCGAACUUUGUGACAGGAUCAGAAAAUCCUCCUCACUUCCUCUAGCAGUGCUGCUUGUCUUUAUGGCAUUUCUAAAGGUACCAAAUAUGAGAUCAAACAUGGCCAGCAAUGCCUUUUUAAAUUCAGUUUUAGAGUAAUCAAGAGUCCUAUUGCUGACUGCAGCAAUAUUUUCAGAACCUGUACCCACAAAGGUCUUCAAAGACUGGAGGCAUAAUUCACAGAUUGCUAAUUACCUGUUUGAAUUCCAUCUUUCUUUCAAAGAAGCAUGUAAAAAUAUUUCUAAUGAACUGUGCAAUCAAGAACAAAUAGAUGAGAUGCUUUCAAUCCAUAAGCCUACAUAUCAACAAUUCAAUAUAAUUACUUUAACCAUCAGAAUGUUUUAUUUGUGUACCAAGUAUACCAAAGCAGAGUCAUAUCUUAAGGAACCAGAAGGCAAGAGAUAGGUGGGCAGACAGAAAGGGAAGGAAAGGAGAAGUGAGGAUGAGAGUGGAAAAGAAAGAAAACAGCUGCUUGUGCGUCUCUUCCUGGGCCUCAGAUCGCAAAAGGGAAUUGAUUGAUGUGGUAACUGGCAGGGAGUGAGUUAUCUAUGUUUGAAUGGGGGUCAGGUGAGGGAAUGGAUCCAUUUUUCACACAGAAGAGUCACCUAGCAUGCCCUAGCACUAUUUUUGCCAGUGCUCCAAAAGGCCUAACCUCUUGUUGGAGAGACGAUUGCUCCCUGAGAUGGAAAGAGAAUCGGGAACUGAUAAUAAGAGGGUUGGCCUGACAGACACAAUAUCAGAAUGUCUGAGACAAAGGGACAAGGUCAGGACCUGGAAAAGCACCAUUGUUUCUGACGCCCAUUUGGGAGGGGUAGGAGAUACUCUCACAGUUUAUAGCAUAUUUCCUGUGCCAGGAGGUGUCCAAGUGGCCUGUGCCAACAUCACCCAGGUGUCACCACUUUCACACAUGUAGCCCAUGUCCUGCACUAGACAGCCAUGAGACCACGAUGUUCUAAACUGUACUUCCUGUUAGUUAACUAUUGAGCUUUCUGGAUACAUUUAGCCCAGGAGAAGGCAAUCGUAUUAAAUUUCUAUUAUGUACUAGGGACUGCAUACCAAAUUUUAUAUGUAUAUACAUACAUGCUUAUAUGUGUAUAUAUAAAGAAAUGUGUAUAUAUAUAUGUGUCUAUACAGAAAGACUAUACUAUUUGACUGUAUUAUAUAAAAUAGUGGAGUUUAAUACAGUAUUAUAUAUACACACAUGUGUAUAUAUAAAUAAAUAUAUGUAUCUACUAUACACAUAUACACACAACAGAUAUAUAGUAGAAACUUAAUAUGGUAUAUUUUAUACAUACACAGAUAUGUGUAUGUAUAUAUGUUUAUAUAUAGAAUGUAUUAUGUGACUGCAUUAUAUAUAGUAGAAUUUAAUGCCAUUUAUAUGUCUGAUACCAUAUUCCUGAGACUAUAUACCAAGCAUUAAAUUCUUAUAUAUUGAUAUCAGUCAUAACAGUCAACAUAUAAAGUCAAAUAUUCAUUCUGCAUUCUGCAUUCAGGCAUUCCAUACUUACUAAAGGCUUUCCUAUGAACAUAGUACUGUGGCACAUACUGUGGGGAUAGAGAACCAAAGAGAAUAUGGUUCCUGUGAUCCAAAUGAGCUUCAAGCCAUAUGAAGGAGAAGGCAUGUCAUUAACUCAUAGAAUACAAAACAAUAUGAAGCAGGUACACCAAUGCAGUCAAAACCAGAUGCUAAGAAUGUCCAAAGGAAGGAGAGAUUGGUAGGACUUGGUCAAAGAGUGAGAAGGAGAAAUGUUUCUUGAAGGAGAUGCUUUUGAACUCAUUUUAAUGGCUAAAGGAGUAAGAGUUAUAUAAGCUAGUAAAGGAAUGUGAGUCAGAGCAUGAGGUAAGGAGGGUAUGGCAUGCUCAGGGAUAGCAAGUAGAUUCACUUGCCUGGAGAUAAGGGUACAGCAAGGGAGCCAAGCUACUGGUAACAGGUGGGACAAGAUUGUCUAUUGAUGUGGAUGCCAUGGUGAGUCAGUAUCAGAAGAUGGGGGCCAUUAUGGAUAUGGUCAGGGCUGACAAUGUGGAAGACAAGGCAUUUCAACUAUGUAAUGAAAGAUAAAUAUUAUUUCUAUAGUCUGAGGUGUGAUGUAAAAGUACAUUCCAGGAUAAAAGGAUUGCAAUAGAGAAGGGGCAGAAAUAAUAAAAUAUAGUGUGGACUUAGGGAAUGGUACAAGUAUGAUAAGAAACUUUCAUUCCUGGCAUAUAUUAUGGGUCAAUAAAAAUUUGUUGAAUGAAUGAAUAAAUGAUUGAUCAUAGAGAAGUAAGGCAAAAAGAAGUUUCAAAAUCUAGGUUGGAGCCGAACUUUGAAUUAUUAGACUAACAAGUCAGGUCUUUAUUCAAUAGCCAAUGGGGAGACACUAAAGGAUUUUAAAAGGAAGGAGUGACAGGAUUAACACUGUGAUCUGAAAGAUGAAUCUGGUAUUGAGGUAAAGGCUGGGUUAGAGAGUGGUUGUCACAAAGAAUAGGCUAUUUCUAUAUCAAAGGAAAUAAAAGUCAAAGAUGAAUUGUCUUUCAAGGCAGAUCAUUCAUUCAUAGAUACUUACACAUUUUCCACUGUAUGCCAGUCAUAGAUUUAUACAAAUCAGGGAAUAAAUGGCCUACAGUCCUACUCUCAAGUAGCUUGACUUCUAGGCAGUGGAGACAAACAUUAAACAAUAGGUAUCAUAAAAAAUAUAAAUGAUGUAGCAUGUUUGAAGAUGUUAAGUAUUAUGGAAAAAGUAGAGCAGGAUAUGGUGAAUUUUAGCACUGAGGGAAGAAGUAGGAUGGGAUGCUAUAUUGAAUAAAGUUGUCAGGGUAGACCUCAUGGAAGAGGGGUGAUAUGAGCAAUGCACAAAAGAGAUGGAAGGAAUUAGCCAAGCUUGUAUCUGGGGGAAAAAACAUACUAGGCAGAUGGAAUAACAGGAGAAUGUGUAACAAGUUCAAUCAACAACAAGAAUGGCAGUACACCUACUUCAGAGUAAGCAAGAAGGGGCAGAAGAGGAAAUGAAAUCAUGAUAAAUCCAGGAUAAAUCUUGAAGGUUUUUUACAGGCCAUCAAAAGGACUUUGGCUUUCACCUUGAGUGGACCAGGAAAUUUUGGAGCAUUUGAGGCAAAGAGUAACACCAUCUGGCUUAUACUUUUUAAGGAAUACAGGAGUGUGCAUUGAGGGAAACUGUAAAGGAGAAAGGACAGAACAGGAAGAUCCAUGAGGAGGGCACAGCAGUAAUCCAAGUGAGACAGGACAAUGGUCACACUAGGAUACAACAAGGAAGGUGGUCAGAAGUGAGCAGGAUAUAUUUUCAUGGUGAAACCAAUGGGAUUUCCUCCUGACAAAUUGGAUAGAGGUGUGAAAGAAAGGGAAGAGUCAAGGAUGAGUCAAAGGGUUUGUGUUUUGUUUUAGGCUGGACAACUAGAAAGAUAGAAUUGCUAUAAAAUAAGGUAGAGAGGAUUGAGGUUGGAACAGAUGUGUGCAUGCAAUUCAGUGCCUGUCAAGCUCAAGAUGUCUAUUUAGCUAUCCAAGCAGCUAUGUUCAAUAGGCAAUGGUAUGUAGGGGUCUGCGGAGAGGUCUGAGAUAGAGACAUAACUGGGGAUGUGCUCUGCAUAUAAUCUACAUAAAACAGGAUGAGACAGGAUGAAAUUACCAAAGGUGCAAGUACAGAUGAGGGAGACAAAAGAAGAGGAUCAAGGACCGGUUACAGAGGCAAUCAACAUUAAGACAUUACGUGGAAUAAUGGUGUUGUCCCUAAGAAAACAGAUAAUCUGAGUAUGGUGGGAAAUGGUUGGUUCAAUAAAUGAAUUCUAUUUUCUACAUGUUAUGUUUGAAGUGAAAUUAUGAAAUUCAUGUGACAACUAAUGGUGUGCUGGUAAAUAUUAAACAGGGGAGAGGAGUAUAAUUUGUAGACUUUGCCAAUUUCUCUGGUGUAUGUGCUCCCAUCACCAAUUUAAAACUACCAACUUGCUUUAGUGGCUGAUGGAAAAGAUCCAAAACAAAAAUUUAUUAAUUUUUUGAUUUUGAGAAAUCAGCCCUAGGGUGGGGACAAUUAAAAUCAUAGGAAAGGAUGAAAUCUUCAGAGGACAUAUUGUGAUAAACAGGAGAAAACUAAAGGCAAGAUAUGGGUAAGUGAUCCUAUUAAGGGGGUUUGAGAGAUUUCCAAUGAAGAAAGAAGAGCAAGAAGCUAAAUUCUGGAACGGUUUUAUAAACUGGGAUCAUUUUACUACUGUUGCAAAGUAUUUAUUUUCUCUUUUUUUUCCUACUUUUUCCCUGAUAGGUGAAAGUACAUCAGACUCAGAUAAGAAUUUUUUUCUUUUAGCCCCUGAGAGAAUGGGCACUCAAAAUUAUUUUCAUAUCUGUAUAAGAAUUCUCAUAUGAACUUGUUUAUGAAUAAUUUUAACCACUUACAGCUUUCCUUAAAAUAAAAUGUCAUCAGGAUAUCUACAUACUCCAACACAAAUAUCAUUUGGAUUUUCCAAAUGGUCAAUGUGGUUUUUCAGAUAUGUUCAAAAAAAUUUUAAGUCAAUUGACAUUUGAUACAAGGCAUUGGAUUUAGCAGCCAAAAGCCCUGCUAUGAUUAAGAAAAACCAUGAGGAAACAGUUGUGUCUAGACAGUUUGCUUUUUUGAGUGCAACUUAGCUUCGCUGAUAAAGAAUAGAUUCAAAAGAGUAUGGUUAAUUCUUAGUCACUUAGAUACAAGUCAUGCUAUGGAUAAUGAGACAUAUAACAAUCAGACACAUACUACAACUUUUUAAAAGCUCUAUGUAUCUUUGAAGUACAGUCCAUAUGUGUGGUGAUCACAUUUCUAGAAUUUUUCAGGACAGUCUCAGUGUCCUCAGAAAUGUAUUUGUAAUUGUCAAAUCAUGUAUUCUAAUUUUUGCAUUUGAAAAACAUGAACACUGUUAGCAGAUUUGUGUUGGGCUAAAUUAAAUUUAGAUUCCACCCCCAAUGUCUGCUGGAUGGUAGACAGAAGCCUACUAAAUCUAAGGAUUCCUUGUAGAAAAUGCACUCAAAGCCUAACCCACAUGCUCCUUGGGUCUCUGCUUUCAGGAGAGCUUGGCCAGCAUAAGCUUGCUAUAAUAUUACAAGUUUUCUCAAAUUGUAGUUGAAUGUUCGCCCUAGUUUUUAGGAGCCCCUCUGAAUCAAAAGAGCUCUAUGUUCACAGGACAUUGAAAUUAUGACUUGAAAAGAAAAAAAAA
rnacentral:lncRNA from 1 species